GGCCCCAGGACAUCAUUAUGGAGAGGAAGAAACUUCCCUGUUAAGGUCAGGGUGAGUGGAAGGGUUGGGAAGUGGCUAUCAGGUGUUUUCUUAUCUCCAGUCAAGGCUGUGACUCUAAUUUUUGUAGACUUAACCCUGUCUGCCCGCCCCUGGAACUGCAUGUGUCACUGGGCAGCAGUGUGGGAGCAGUGUGGCCUCGAUGCUGGCCAGUCACUGCUGUGGCUGCCCUGAUGCAACUGCAGCUCUGUAGGUACUGCUCUAUGUUUGCGUAGGCAGUGGUUGUGCCUUUGGUUGCGAUGUAGAUGUACCCAGUCAGACGAGACCGCAUAUGUUGGCAAUGGGAAUUGGUGGUUGGCAGUGACUGUGGCAGUGGGUGUAAGCAGUGAGUUGAGGGUUUGGGAAGUAAAAUGAAGUGAGAUGCCAGAUGACAGAGGGAAGUGGCAACUGGCAGUGCAGCCUGGCUGUUGCUGUUGGCAUUGAGAUGUGGCUUUAGCAGGAAAAGGAGGCUCUGUGCUCCCUGUCAAGAAAAUGUGACUCUUAGCAGUAAGAUGUGAUUCUGUUGCUGAUAGAGCUGAAGUAUUUUUUGCAUUGAUGCAUUUGCUGAUGGACCUCAACUUCUGAAGAUUAUGUCCUUUUGCUGAUGGACCUCAACUUCUGAGGAUUAUGUCCUUCAUCCUCUCAAUCCCACAGUUCCCUGGGGAAUCCUGUUCAACUGGGCCUUAAAAACGACUCUUCACUGUGCUGUAUGUUAUUUCUCAAGGAGAGAGUGAAGACAAUUCCAGGGAGAUGGACAGCUCAAGCAAGUGAAUGGGAGAAACAGUUCUCAUCCAGAUGCUCAGGCCAACUCCACCCUGAAACUGCUAAAUGAACUGGAACUGCAAAGUGAAAUUGCUGAGAGCCUGUUUCUGUAUUUGAAUGGAUUUCUUCAUUCAUGUACCAUGGCCCUGGAAGACUGGAGUACCUCCCUUACAGACAUCCAUGAGGGAGCAGAUGACAUCUAUCACAGAUGGGACCCCUCACAACUUCUGCGUGCUUGCCACACCUAUUGCUUGUACUGCCUGAUCCUGUAUGUCCCAAAGACGCCAGGUUUGCUAUGUACUUCCAGCCUAUGUGUGCACUACUGGGUAGUGUUUGCAUCCACAAAGUCACGGUGUCCCCGUUACAGAGCUGAUCUACACAUGUGUACUAGUGCUGUGUCCAGGAUUUCCAGCAGCUUGGUUUGAACCUUUGCUCCGGCUAAACUGCCUAGCACAUGAAAAUAAUGGGCAAACACUGGAAGUCCUUCCAGUCCAUCCAGUAGCCUUGUCCAUGGGGUUUAUUAGCUCAGGUGCAGUGCAGGACAAAGGCAAGAAACCUGCCUGGGCUGGGGAAGUAUUGGAACUGCUUCCUCAGGAAUCUGGAGUGCUGGGCAAUGCCAUGCAAGGUUAUUAGUGUGACUGUAGUUUUUGCUGUCUGCAUGUGUAAUAUCUAGGUUUUACUGCUAUCUGGAGUAUCCUAACCUCUGGUCUCCUGGAACUAAGUGGAACUACAGUUCAAAACCUGAAUAGCAAACACAAUUUCUCAAAUUUACGUUUUCUGAGCAGUUCUAUUGACUUAAGGUUAAAAAGAAGCAUAAGCAAUUUUGGGGUCUUAAAUCGUCACAAGACAAACUAAGCUGAUAAGUUUAAAGUAAGGUAUAAAAUUGCAAACAGAUCAGACACAAAUCCUCUCAGAUACAUCGUAAAGAAUUUCUGCUUCCUUCAGACAGUUCAGACAAGUUUUAAUUUUUGGCUUUAUUUUAUUUGGCUUAUUUCAGAACAUUAUUGAAGAAACAUUCUUCUCUUCACUGUCCUAAUGGCAGAGUAUAGAGAAGUUGUAGUGCAAGAGGCAAUGGACACAAGUUGGAAUAAUAGCAAUUCCAAUUAGAUCUAAGAAAAAAGAAUUUACCAUAAGGGUGGUGAAACACUGAAACAGGUUGCCCAGAGAAGCUGUGGAGUGCCCAUCCCUGUAUACAUUCAAAACCUGACUGGAUAUGCCCUUGAGCAACCUGACCUGGUUGGAUCUGCUCUGAGCAGGAUGUUGGACUAGACAAUCUUCAGAGGUCCCUUCCAACCUAAAAACUAUUCUGUGGCCUUAUGUUAUAUAGAUAGCAUCCACCUCCCUGUUCCAUCUGGAAAGAUGCUCAAACCCAGAAAGCAAAUAUGUCUUUGAGAGCUACUGUGAUGAUAAGUGCUGUUUAGCUGCUGCAAAUCAUGUCCUUCCAUUCACGGCUGCAAACAUUUUCCUUUGUAAGUGGUGUCACCCCCAAGAGCUGUUCAGGUAAGAUUCUAUGCAACACUCAUCUCCUGAAGAGCUGGAUUCUUAUCUGUAAAUACAAUUUUACUGCUUUUCUUGUGGUCCUUUGAAUGUAGCUCUGUAGCCUUGGGCAAAUCAUUUUAAAUUCAUGUGGUUCUGUUAGUUUUGGUAAACCUGCAUAUGCUGAUGAGCAUGUCCCUUGUCCUGUAAACACUGAUGCACUUUCUUAAUUAAGUGGAGGGUAUAAAUGCAACAGGUGAGGCUUGUCCCUAACCCUUCUAACCUCAUAUCAUGUAAUGUUUUCUGCUGGCAGAAAUCAUGUGCUUUCCAGCUCUGCACCAUGCUGUAAUUUCUCUAUAGCUUCUUAUAACUGAUAUAUUUUGUUGAGAAGCUAAAGAGAAGACCAGGUGUUAUACUAGGAAUCCAGAAAUCCACAGCUGAAGCAAAAUUUGUGAAAUACAUUUGAAUAAAAUUGGAAAUCUUGUUGAUAAACUCUGAAAU
rnacentral:lncRNA from 1 species